UACGUAGGGGGCAAGCGUUGUCCGGAUUUAUUGGGCGUAAAGAGCGUGUAGGCGGCCAGGUAGGUCAGCUGUGAAAACUCGAGGCUCAACCUCGAGACGCCGGUUGAAACCAUCUGGCUAGAGUCCGGAAGAGGAGAGUGGAAUUCCUGGUGUAGCGGUGAAAUGCGCAGAUAUCAGGAAGAACACCCGUGGCGAAGGCGGCUCUCUGGGACGGUACUGACGCUGAGACGCGAAAGCGUGGGGAGCGAACAGG
rnacentral:rRNA from 1 species